rnacentral:rRNA from 1 species
UACGUAGGGGGCAAGCGUUGUCCGGAAUUAUUGGGCGUAAAGAGCGUGUAGGCGGCCAGAUAAGUCCGCUGUGAAAUCUCGAGGCUCAACUUCGAGCUGUCGGUGGAAACUAUCUGGCUAGAGUCCGGAAGAGGAGAGUGGAAUUCCCGGUGUAGCGGUGAAAUGCGCAGAUAUCAGGAGGAACACCGAUGGCGAAGGCAGGUCUCUGGGCCAUAACUGACGCUGAGAAGCGAAAGCAUGGGGAGCGAACAGG